UCCUUGGCAUGCAGUGAAAGGUUUCUAUUCACGAUAAGUAUUGAUAUGAACAAUACACACUAGUAGCAGGCAGGAGCAGUGUAAUGUUCCAUCACCACCCUAAUGCACCAAACAAAUGAUAACUGCACUAUCCCCUAAACUGACUGAACCAUUCUGUAUGCAAGAGUACACUGCUGCUUGUCAGUGUCAAUAGCCUCCAGAAGCUUUUAAAUUUAGGUUUCACUCUUUACUAGUAUUUAACUAAUAUCUAUGCUUAGUGGUCCUUCCCCAUUCCUACCUCACCAGCUAUAUUUUAUCUUGACAAGAUGUGUGUUUCCCCAUUUUCAAUGCUGUGUUUUAUCUUCUCUCUCAUCAUGUAUAUCCUAAACUUUGAU
rnacentral:lncRNA from 1 species